rnacentral:rRNA from 1 species
CACGUAGGGCGCAAGCGUUUGUCCGGAAUUAUUGGGCGUAAAGAGCUCGUAGGCGGUCUGUUGCGUCCGCUGUGAAAACUCGGGGCUUAACCCCGAGCCUGCAGUGGAUACGGGCAGACUAGAGGUAGGUAGGGGAGAAUGGAAUUCCCGGUGUAGCGGUGAAAUGCGCAGAUAUCGGGAGGAACACCGGUGGCGAAGGCGGUUCUCUGGGCCUUACCUGACGCUGAGACGCGAAAGCGUGGGGAGCAAACAGG